AGAGUUUGAUCCUGGCUCAGGAUGAACGCUGGCGGCGUGCCUAAUACAUGCAAGUCGAACGCACAGCGAAAGGUGCUUGCACCUUUCAAGUGAGUGGCGAACGGGUGAGUAACACGUGGACAACCCGCCUCAAGGCUGGGGAUAACAUUUGGAAACAGAUGCUAAUACCGAAUGAAACUUAGUGUCGCAUGACACGAAGUUAAAAGGCGCUUUGGCGUCACCUAGAGAUGGAUCCGCGGUGCAUUAGUUAGUUGGUGGGGUAAAGGCCUACCAAGACAAUGAUGCAUAGCCGAGUUGAGAGACUGAUCGGCCACAUUGGGACUGAGACACGGCCCAAACUCCUACGGGUGGCUGCAGUAGGGAAUCUUCCACAAUGGGCGAAAGCCUGAUGGAGCAACGCCGCGUGUGUGAUGAAGGCUUUCGGGUCGUAAAGCACUGUUGUAUGGGAAGAACAGCUAGAAUAGGGAAUGAUUUUAGUUUGACGGUACCAUACCAGAAAGGGACGGCUAAAUACGUGCCAGCAGCCGCGGUAAUACGUAUGUCCCGAGCGUUAUCCGGAUUUAUUGGGCGUAAAGCGAGCGCAGACGGUUGAUUAAGUCUGAUGUGAAAGCCCGGAGCUCAACUCCGGAAUGGCAUUGGAAACUGGUUAACUUGAGUGCAGUAGAGGUAAGUGGAACUCCAUGUGUAGCGGUGGAAUGCGUAGAUAUAUGGAAGAACACCAGUGGCGAAGGCGGCUUACUGGACUGUAACUGACGUUGAGGCUCGAAAGUGUGGGUAGCAAACAGGAUUAGAUACCCUGGUAGUCCACACCGUAAACGAUGAACACUAUGUGUUAGGAGGUUUCCGCCUCUUAGUGCCGAAGCUAACGCAUUAAGUGUUCCGCCUGGGGAGUACGACCGCAAGGUUGAAACUCAAAGGAAUUGACGGGGACCCGCACAAGCGGUGGAGCAUGUGGUUUAAUUCGAAGCAACGCGAAGAACCUUACCAGGUCUUGACAUCCUUUGAAGCUUUUAGAGAUAGAAGUGUUCUCUUCGGAGACAAAGUGACAGGUGGUGCAUGGUCGUCGUCAGCUCGUGUCGUGAGAUGUUGGGUUAAGUCCCGCAACGAGCGCAACCCUUAUUGUUAGUUGCCAGCAUUCAGAUGGGCACUCUAGCGAGACUGCCGGUGACAAACCGGAGGAAGGCGGGGACGACGUCAGAUCAUCAUGCCCCUUAUGACCUGGGCUACACACGUGCUACAAUGGCGUAUACAACGAGUUGCCAACCCGCGAGGGUGAGCUAAUCUCUUAAAGUACGUCUCAGUUCGGAUUGUAGUCUGCAACUCGACUACAUGAAGUCGGAAUCGCUAGUAAUCGCGGAUCAGCACGCCGCGGUGAAUACGUUCCCGGGUCUUGCACACACCGCCCGUCA
rnacentral:rRNA from 1 species